ensembl:lncRNA
GGAAGUAGACAGAGGUGACCAGGAGGAUAAGAGAGAGGAAUGAGUAGGAGAGAGACAAAUCUUGCCAGUAACCAGUUCCUUAGGUGUUCUCCACUGUCUGGAACACACAGAGAUUCACAGAGUUGGAUAGAGAAGAGAUGGGGGAGAAAAGAGACAGAGGCCACCUGGUGGAGAAAAAGGAGAGUCCAGAGGAGGAGAGAGUGGUCAAGCCAGUAAUCUCGCUCUCAGCUGUGGACUUCCGGGCAGACACAUGGACUCAUGUGCAUAGGAGCGAAACCUCCUCCCCUGUCCGUCCUGGAGACAGGCCUCCUCACAUGACCUUGGGAGAGAGCACUGGGUUCUAUAGGGACAACCCCAUGGACAGAGGUGCCUGGCAGGCUGCAAACCACGGGGUCGCAAAGAAUUGGACACGACCAAACGACUAAGCACAGCAGUGUUCAUUGCCCCAUUGUUUACCAUAGCCAGAACAUGGAAGCAGCCUUAAUGUCCAUCAACAGAGAAAUGGACAAAGAAGAUGUAGUGCAGAUAUACAAGUAAUGUUACACAGCCAUAAGAAGGAACAAAAUAAUGCUAUCAGAAGCAAUACGGAUGGACCUGGAUAUUGUCAUACCAAAUGAAGUAAGUCAAAAAGAGAAAGACAAAUACAAAUGAUAUCACUGAUAUGUGGAAUAUUAAAACAUGGUAUAAAUGAACUUAUUUACAAACAGGAAGAGAGUCACAAUGUAGAAAAUAAUCCUAUUGUUCCAAGUGGAAGAGGGGAGGGAUAAAUUGUGAAAUUGGGAUUGACAAGUAUACACUAAUAUAUAUAAGAAAGAUAACUAAUAAGGAUCUACCGGAUAGAAUAGGAAACUCUAUUCACUUCGCUGUAAUGACCUACAUGAGAAAAGAACCUAAAUAAGAGUGAAUACACACAUCAGUUCAGUUCAGUUCAGUCGCUCAGUCAUGUCCAACUCUUUGCGACCCCAUGAAUCACAGCACGCCAGGCCUCCCUGUUCAUUACCAACUCCCAGAUUUCCCUCAAACUCAUGUCCAUCGAGUCAGUGAUGCCAUCUCAUCCUCUGUCGUCCCCUUCUCCUCCUGCUCCCAAUCCCUCCCAGCAUCAAAGUCUUUUCCAAUGAGUCAACUCUUUGCAUGAGAUGGCCAAAGUAUUGGAGUUUCAGCUUUAGUAUCAUUCUUUCCAAAGAAAUCCCAGGACUGAUCUCCUUUGGAAUGGACUGGUUCGAUGUCCUUGCAGUCCAAGGGACUCUCAAGAGUCUUCUCCAACACCACAGUUCAAAAGCAUCAAUUCUUCAGAACUCAGCUUUCUUCACAGUCCAACUCUCACAUCCAUACAUGACCACUGGAAAGACCAUAGCCUUGGCUAG